rnacentral:rRNA from 1 species
UGAGGAAUAUUGGUCAAUGGGCGUAAGCCUGAACCAGCCAAGUCGCGUGAGGGAUGAAGGUUCUAUGGAUCGUAAACCUCUUUUAUAAGGGAAUAAAGUGUGGGACGUGUCCUAUUUUGUAUGUACCUUAUGAAUAAGGAUCGGCUAACUCCGUGCCAGCAGCCGCGGUAAUACGGAGGAUCCGAGCGUUAUCCGGAGUUAUUGGGUUUAAAGGGUGCGUAGGCGGCCUUUUAAGUCAGCGGUGAAAGUCUGUGGCUCAACCAUAGAAUUGCCGUUGAAACUGGGGGGCUUGAGUAUGUUUGAGGCAGGCGGAAUGCGUGGUGUAGCGGUGAAAUGCUGAGAUAUCACGCAGAACCCCGAUUGCGAAGGCAGCCUGCCAAGCCAUGACUGACGCUGAUGCACGAAAGCGUGGGGAUCAAACA